rnacentral:sRNA from 1 species
GCCCUUUGUUGUUUUACAACAGCCAGUGCAUCAUUCCCAGAUGAAUGUGAGCACGUACAGUAUGUUUUGAGUAGCCUUGCUGUGAGUUUCUUUGAGUUGCUGCUGUUCUUUGGAAGAGAUGAGUUUUAUGAAGAGCCCUUAAAGGAUAUUCUUGGAUCAUUCCAGGAAUGCCAGAAUCACCUCCGCAGAUAUGGAAAUGUGAAUCUGGAACUGGUGACUCGAAUCAUUAGAGAUGGUGGCCCAUGGGAAGAUCCAGUGUUGCAAGCUGUCCUUAAAGCUCAGCCAGCAUCUCAGGAGAUAGUGAACAAAUAUUUAAGUUCUGAAAAUCCACUGUUCUUUGAACUACGUGCCAGAUACCUAAUUGCUUGUGAACGCAUACCCGAAGCAAUGGCUCUUAUUAAAUCUUGUAUAAAUCACCCAGAAAUCAGUAAAGACUUAUACUUCCAUCAAGCACUCUUCACAUGUCUGUUUAUGUCACCUGUAGAAGAUCAGCUAUUCCGGGAGGUAUUGUUUGAGACUAUUUUUGCCUAUUACCAUUUUAACCCUAC